UACGUAGGUGGCAAGCGUUGUCCGGAUUUACUGGGCGUAAAGAGCGCGCAGGCGGUCAGAUAAGUCGAAUGUGAAAGCCCCCGGCUCAACUGGGGAGGGUCAUUCGAUACUGUUCGACUCGAAGGCAGGAGAGGGAAGCGGAAUUCCCGGUGUAGUGGUGAAAUGCGCAGAUAUCAGGAGGAACACCGGUGGCGAAGGCGGGUCUCUGGGCAGUAACUGACGCUGAGGAGCGAAAGCGUGGGGAGCGAACAGG
rnacentral:rRNA from 1 species